rnacentral:ncRNA from 1 species
GUAAAAUUGAUGAAUAAGAAUAGUAGCGAAAUUCGCAUGGUUUAGAGAGCUAGUGGUCGGUGUGAACUAGUGCAUGCCUUUCGUGAAUGGGCCUUAUGAGAGCAGCUGGCAUUAGUCUGCUGACGUUUUUCCUACGUUAUAAGGAAGUGUUUUAAGUACUAGAUACCUAAAACACGCCAAGGUGGAAGUAAUUUAUAUUACUUCAACAGAGGUGGCAACGCGGUUUAAAUCGUCCUCUAC